GAGUUUGAUCAUGGCUCAGGAUGAACGCUGGCGGCGUGCCUAAUACAUGCAAGUCGAACGAACAGAUAAGGAGCUUGCUCCUUUGACGUUAGCGGCGGACGGGUGAGUAACACGUGGGUAACCUACCUAUAAGACUGGAAUAACUCCGGGAAACCGGGGCUAAUGCCGGAUAACAUGUUGAACCGCAUGGUUCUACAGUGAAAGACGGUCUUGCUGUCACUUAUAGAUGGACCCGCGCCGUAUUAGCUAGUUGGUGGGUAACGGCCUACCAAGGCGACGAUACGUAGCCGACCUGAGAGGGUGAUCGGCCACACUGGAACUGAGACACGGUCCAGACUCCUACGGGAGGCAGCAGUGGGGAAUCUUCCGCAAUGGGCGAAAGCCUGACGGAGCAACGCCGCGUGAGUGAUGAAGGUCUUCGGAUCGUAAAGCUCUGUUGUUAGGGAAGAACAAAUGUGUAAGUAACUGUGCAUAUCUUGACGGUACCUAACCAGAAAGCCACGGCUAACUACGUGCCAGCAGCCGA
rnacentral:rRNA from 1 species